ACGGAUGUGGCUCAAUGGAUAGAGCAACGGAUUUCUAAUCCGUAGGUUACAGGUUCAACCCCUGUCAUCCGUGCCA
rnacentral:tRNA from 1 species